ensembl:lncRNA
UUUUAUAUUCACGAACGUUCUGCAUUGGACCUGGGCAUCUGAGUUUUGUCGAGAUGGCAGAGACGUUGGCCUCUGGUAAUCCGUAGGCCACAAAUACUAUGGAUAUUUGAGGAAAGCACUCAGUUCUUUUGCAGUCAUAUUGAUUUUAUAUUCGUCUUCAAUUCCGUGUAGGUGGAGCCUGUGGACGGACUCUCGCGACUUUAAAGAAUUGAGAGAAGCCAGCAAUUUACACCCCUCGGCUAACAGUUAUUUAAACUAGUUGCCAAAGCCAGACGUAUCGGUGCCUCGCUACUUCGCCAACCAUUUUUUAUUAGCCCGGCGCUGGGGAAGCUAACCACCAGAGAAAGAGCGGCCCAGUUUCCUGGUAUUACUGAAUCUCUGACCCUCUCAUGGUUAACAAUGGAUGUCAACGACCUGUCUCUGAGGAUUUCAACAUCUCACAUUCAAUGACUGACACGUCAUUUUCCGUAUUGGGACCCUGAGCUUUUACAAAUACCCUCAGGUUCAUCAUUUGGACCAGCCAUCAAACACCAUCCACUGGGGUUGGAAGCAAGGGAAGUCCCCAGACACUUUUUGAUACACGAGCAGAGAAGAAAAGGGCCUGAUGUUGAGAGGCUGAUGUCAGAUAAGGCUCAGUUCUCCACCAACACAGUGGAAGGAGACAAGUUGGGGGAGCUGAGUUACUAAGAUAUUGUCAUCUGUUUGACACAUACCCCCAGAGCAGGGGGUAUUACUGGAAACUGAGCCCUUCAUUUAGACGGAUACAGAUGGAUUUCAGUCUUUUGGAAAGAACCACACUAUCACCUGCUAAUUUCACAUCCCUGGUGCAGCUGGCAGUUGAGGUGGUUUAAAUUGGCCACCGGCAGGGUUUAGGGAUGCCCCGACACAGGAAAACCAGGCUACUCCACUGGCCCGCUUACAGACUGUUCUUUAUAGGACGAGUCCUGGACUGACUGUCUCUUUAACAGGGAGCAUAAUUUCUUUAUGUACAACACUUUCCUCACAUGACUGCAGCACCCUGACCAAAAAACUUACAUUUGAGUGAUGCAAAAUCUCCAUAUGCAGACUGAACUAGAUACAACUAGCUCUCCCAUUUUAGGUCUUGGAUGAAGAAUACCCCAGAGGGAGGAAAGACAAGUCACAUUACCAUCAAGUCUUAUUACCUUUAAGCGUGUGUGUUGUUUUUUUUUUUUUCCCCCCAACCCCUUCUCUUUCAUCAUUUUAUUCCUUUUUUUAAUAUUGCUGUUUCAAGUUGAUUCUUCCUUGAAUCUCUUAGCAUUGCAGGUUUAUCUCUGGUACUCUGGUACUUCACUGAAGCCCCACUAAUUGGAGUCUUAGAUGCAGAAAACUAGUCCAGACUGUUUUGAUUGGUCAAAUACCUUUUUGGAACAUCUAGCAGCUUUUUAAAUUGCACUAUAAUUAAUUUUCACAAAGCCUUCAUUCAUUCACUUUUGAUUUAUUUAUUAAUUUAUUUUUUUUUUUUGUAAGCUGUGGGUUAUUGAGUCAUCCUACUUUAUCACCUGUUUUGUGGUUAACAAGGUUAACAAGACGAGAAACUAUUAAGAUUCUGUUAAUCUCACACUUAAUUGAUUAGGUCUGACUGAACAACUCGAGAGCAAGCCUUCCUUUUUGCAUGUUUGUGUAGUGAUACACAGGUACUCUUUCCUCUUUUUACACUUAAAAUAUAAUUUCCCUGCUAUUCCCAAUCAAUCUUUUUAAAUUUUUUCUUUUUUUUUACAAUCUGCUGUUGAAAACACCUGAGGAAAAAUGUAACAAUUUAAAUUGAAUGACAAAUUCCUCACUGUAGCAGUUGCUGAACAGACACCACCCCCCACCCUCCCCACCCCCCCGCCCACGUGCGCACACAGAGGGAGGGAGAGGGAGAGGGAGAGAGGGAGAGAGCGAGAGAGAGGGAGGGAGGGAGGGAG